AAGGAUCAUUACCGAGUUCAUGCCCUUCGGGGUAGAUCUCCCACCCUUUGUAUACUAUACCUUUGUUGCUUUGGCGGGCCGCCUAGCUACUGGCUUCGGCUGGUAAGUGCCCGCCAGAGAACCCAAAACCCUGAAUUAUUAGUGUCGUCUGAGUAAAAUAUUUAAUAUUUAAAACUUUCAACAACGGAUCUCUUGGCUCUG
rnacentral:misc_RNA from 1 species